rnacentral:rRNA from 1 species
AGCAGCCGCGGUAAUUCCAGCUCCAAUAGCGUAUAUUAAAGUUGUUGCAGUUAAAAAGCUCGUAGUUGAAUUUCGGGAUCAAUAUGUUGGUCGUGCCUUGGUACGUACUGGCAUUAUCGAUUCCUACCUUCUGAAGAACCUCGAUGUCAUUAAUUUGGUGUCUUGUGGAAUCAGGACUGUUACUUUGAAAAAAUUAGAGUGUUUAAAGCAGGCUCGCGCUUGAAUACAUUAGCAUGGAAUAAUGAAAUAGGACGUUUGAUUCUAUUUUGUUGGUUUCUAGGAUCGACGUAAUGAUUAAUAGGGAUAGUUGGGGGCAUUAGUAUUCAAUUGUCAGAGGUGAAAUUCUUGGAUUUAUUGAAGACUAACUACUGCGAAAGCAUUUGCCAAGGAUGUUUUCAUUAAUCAAGAACGAAAGUUAGGGGAUCGAAGACGAUCAGAUACCGUCGUAGUCUUAACCAUAAACUAUGCCGACUAGGGAUCGGAUGAUGUUAAUUUUUUAAUGACUCAUUCGGCGCCUUACG